rnacentral:lncRNA from 1 species
AAUAACCUUGAGUGUUAGAGUACUGAAACCUGCCGAUUUAAACUGCAGCGUGCUGAAUUAAUUUACACAGAUCAACACCUCCUAUGUAUAUUAUUGUAAUCAACAAAAUGAAGAUUUUGCUUUUUUUACAUAAAACAACUUAUUUUUAUUCUCAUUCUUCUUCUUCUUUCGAGUCGAUGACAUGUCAUAUGUUGAGACUACACUAUUUAUUCCCAUUUAUUUAUUUUUAAACAUAUAUUUUUAUAAAUGUUGUUGGUUACGAUAAUAUACAUAGGAGGUGUCGAGAUAAUGCUUACAGAUUUUAUAUCUGUGUUCAGUGUUAGUAUGGCUGAAUAGACUUUAUUUGACCAUUGAACAAUAUCUAAGAUUCUGACCACAAACUUUGAGACUAUUUACCUAAACUUCUGCUAUGUCCUCAUUGAUUACUCAUAGAAUUGUGUACCUUAUUUAGAAUGUUUAGUAUGUUAACAAUAUCAACAAUGUGUAUUGUAUAUUGGCCAGACCUUACUUCAUCACAGUACCUGAUAAUCUACUUCUUGUUUGCAUAUCUCAAGGUCAAUACAUAUUAU